rnacentral:lncRNA from 1 species
CGGACUUUUCGUUUUUGUCCCCAUGUCUCUACUAAGAUUCUUACAUUUUCCUCUGCUUUCUUUCAGGCCAUAGACCUUUCAUAACAUAUCUUCAUCGAUUUGGUAUUACAGAACUGGACACUUGUGAAUGUGGCCAACAACAACCUCCGGAUCAUUAUGCCUUUUUCUGUUGUCUUACGAAACCAUUUUACUUGACCAAGCCAUCUGAUCAAUAGUGGGAACAAAGGACAACACAUCUAUUGAAAACUAAAGGAGCUCUUACUAAACUGACUAAAAUAUUGCAAUUCUGUAAUGAAAGAUAUUCAUGCUCAUCAACUAGCCAAAUAUUCAAGGAGCCUUUGAAUCUAUGUGGUAGGUGAACAUCCUUGAUACCUUGGUCACUAUGGAGUGUAAAGGCGAUCUCGUAGACCUCAUAAGAAGCUAUCUCAAAGACCGCUUCAUUCAAAUUAUUUUAGACUCUGGAAUUGUUACACAAGAGUUGCAUCGAGGAUUCCCUCAGGGCUCAUGUUGAGGUCCUGUCUUAUGGACAGGGUCGCAAAUUCAUUACUCUAAGAGUUCAAAAAUACACCUAAAACAAAACUACUAUUUCAGUCUCUAAGAUUCGAGUGUGACAAUAGGAGCUGUAGCCCCUCUUAAACGAAAGCCCACAAUUAAAUUGUAUAGCACCUCUAUUAAGAUAGUUCAACAAGUCAAGUAUCUAAGCCUCAUAAUUGACUCUAAACUUUCUUGGCUGCCGCACCUGAAAAAUAUUAAGUAUCGAAUUGGAAUUUUGAAUAAUAACAUGAUGCGGACUACGGCUAAAAACUGGGAUGUCUCUUCUUCCUUACUAAAAAAUUUGCAUCAGAAAGUCACAGAAAGAAUCUUUCUGUAAUGUGCUGGUAUGUGGGCAACUUCUUUAACUAAACAUGAACGCCGUCAACUUCUCUCCAUACAAAAAAUGCCCCUUCUGCAUAUCAUUAGGAAUACCUCUCAAUUUUGACAGCAGUCCUGCAGGUACUAACUGGUAUUCCUCCUCUCGACCUAACUGCAGAGCGAGAAGCAAUACAUUCCUGUAUAUUACGACUGAACAAACAUAUUACUCUAUGGAACGUUCACUUUUCAGCUUCGGACUACGAGGCAUCAAACUACUUCGGACUACGAGGACUACAAAACAUCCAAAUUAUCUUUGCCAAUCCCUCCUAGUACGACUUAGGUCCUUAUAUUUGCUCUAGAUCACCCCAGUUACCAGUUCGAGGGAUCGACAUUUUUACAGAUGGUUUGUAUAAUGAGGCAGGCACAGGCUGUGGUUUGUGUGUCAUGUUAAAUGAUGUCCUGAAACACAUUUGGAAAAGAAGAUUAAGUAAUCAUAAUAUUGCAAGCUGAAUUGACGGCAAUAAAGAAAGUUAUUUAACUCUUCUAUAAAUUCGAUACACAAGCCCAUAUCUACAGUGACUCUGUACCUAGUUUGGAGGCAAGUGAUGAUAUAAAUUUCAGAAACCCUCUAGUAAUAGAAGUUCAAAAAUUACUUUUCAACAUAACGUCAGGAUUUCGUCCACGGUUACAUAGGGGCAUAGUUGGUACAUAGGGGCAUAGUUGGCAAAGAGCGUGCUGACGAACUUGUCAAGCAAGCAGUAACUGGUACGAACUUGCCGGAACAUCCCUUGCCUUUGCCAAGUUCCUUUCUUAAAUGGAUUCAGGGAUUACUUACAAUUACUUAAUAAAUCACUGGCGAUCCGGAUGGAAUAUUGCAACAAUGGGAAGACGGACUUUUCGUUUUUGUCCCCAUGUCUCUACUAAGAUUCUUACAUUUUCCUCUGCUUUCUUUCAGGCCAUAGACCUUUCAUAACAUAUCUUCAUCGAUUUGGUAUUACAGAACUGGACACUUGUGAAUGUGGCCAACAACAACCUCCGGAUCAUUAUGCCUUUUUCUGUUGUCUUACGAAACCAUUUUACUUGACCAAGCCAUCUGAUCAAUAGUGGGAACAAAGGACAACACAUCUAUUGAAAACUAAAGGAGCUCUUACUAAACUGACUAAAAUAUUGCAAUUCUGUAAUGAAAGAUAUUCAUGCUCAUCAACUAGCCAAAUAUUCAAGGAGCCUUUGAAUCUAUGUGGUAGGUGAACAUCCUUGAUACCUUGGUCACUAUGGAGUGUAAAGGCGAUCUCGUAG